rnacentral:rRNA from 1 species
GAUGAACGCUAGCUACAGGCUUAACACAUGCAAGUCGCGGGGCAGCAUGGGGGUUGCUUGCAACUCCCGAUGGCGACCGGCGCACGGGUGAGUAACGCGUAUCCAACCUGCCCUUCACCACGGGAUAACCCGGCGAAAGUCGGACUAAUACCGUAUGUUGUCCAUUGACGGCAUCCGAUUUGGACGAAAGGCUUUGCGGUGAAGGAUGGGGAUGCGUCCGAUUAGCCAGACGGCGGGGUAACGGCCCACCGUGGCUACGAUCGGUAGGGGUUCUGAGAGGAAGGUCCCCCACACUGGAACUGAGACACGGUCCAGACUCCUACGGGAGGCAGCAGUGAGGAAUAUUGGUCAAUGGGCGUAAGCCUGAACCAGCCAAGUAGCGUGCAGGAGGACGGCCCUAUGGGUUGUAAACUGCUUUUAUGCGGGGAUAAAGUGGCCCACGUGUGGGCUUUUGCAGGUACCGCAUGAAUAAGGACCGGCUAAUUCCGUG